CGUUCCCGGGCCUUGUACACACCGCCCGUCAAGUCACGAAAGUUGGUAACACCCGAAGCCGGUGGCCUAACCCCCUGUGGGAGGGAGCUGUCGAAGGUGGGACUGGCGAUUGGGACU
rnacentral:rRNA from 1 species